CAGCCAUGCCGCCGUGUGUGAAGAAGGCCUUUUGGUUGUAAAGCACUUUAAGCGAGGAGGAGGCUACUGAGAUUAAUACUCUAGGAUAGUGGACGUUACUCGCAGAAUAAGCACCGGCUAACUCUGUGCCAGCAGCCGCGGUAAUACAGAGGGUGCGAGCGUUAAUCGGAUUUACUGGGCGUAAAGCGUGCGUAGGCGGCUUUUUAAGUCGGAUGUGAAAUCCCUGAGCUUAACUUAGGAAUUGCAUUCGAUACUGGGAAGCUAGAGUAUGGGAGAGGAUGGUAGAAUUCCAGGUGUAGCGGUGAAAUGCGUAGAGAUCUGGAGGAAUACCGAUGGCGAAGGCAGCCAUCUGGCCUAAUACUGACGCUGAGGUACGAAAGCAUGGGGAGCAAACAGGAUUAGAUACCCUGGUAGUCCAUGCCGUAAACGAUGUCUACUAGCCGUUGGGGCCUUUGAGGCUUUAGUGGCGCAGCUAACGCGAUAAGUAGACCGCCUGGGGAGUACGGUCGCAAGACUAAAACUCAAAUGAAUUGACGGGGGCCCGCACAAGCGGUGGAGCAUGUGGUUUAAUUCGAUGCAACGCGAAGAACCUUACCUGGUCUUGACAUAGUAAGAACUUUCCAGAGAUGGAUUGGUGCCUUCGGGAACUUACAUACAGGUGCUGCAUGGCUGUCGUCAGCUCGUGUCGUGAGAUGUUGGGUUAAGUCCCGCAACGAGCGCAACCCUUUUCCUUAUUUGCCAGCGGGUUAAGCCGGGAACUUUAAGGAUACUGCCAGUGACAAACUGGAGGAAGGCGGGGACGACGUCAAGUCAUCAUGGCCCUUACGACCAGGGCUACACACGUGCUACAAUGGUCGGUACAAAGGGUUGCUACCUAGCGAUAGGAUGCUAAUCUCAAAAAGCCGAUCGUAGUCCGGAUUGGAGUCUGCAACUCGACUCCAUGAAGUCGGAAUCGCUAGUAAUCGCGGAUCAGAAUGCCGCGGUGAAUACGUUCCCGGGCCUUGUACACACCGCCCGUCACACCAUGGGAAUUUGUUGCACCAGAAGUAGGUAGUCUAACCGCAAGGAGGACGCUACCACGGUGCCGUGUU
rnacentral:rRNA from 2 species